rfam:Streptomyces pratensis ATCC 33331, complete genome.
ACCUGUUCCGGGACGCUGUGCGCGGCGUCCGGAACAUCAGACACACACUGUGCCCUGGGAAGAACUGGGCACUUCAGGGCGUU